CCCUUAGAUGUCCUGGGCCGCACGCGCGCUACACUGAUGCAUUCAACGAGUUUUACCUUGGCCGAGAGGCCUGGGCAAUCUUUUAAACCUGCAUCGUGAUAGGGAUAGAUUAUUGCAAUUAUUAAUCUUGAACGAGGAAUUCCUAGUAAACGCAAAUCAUCAAUUUGCAUUGAUUACGUCCCUGCCCUUUGUACACACCGCCCGUCGCACCUACCGAUUGAAUGAUCCGGUGAAGCCUCGGGAUUGUGGCCAGUUCACUUUAUUGGGAGUUGGCUGUGAGAACUUGUCUAAACCUUAUCAUUUAGAGGAAGGUGAAGUCGUAACA
rnacentral:rRNA from 1 species